GAAGGCUGUCAACUAAUCUAUCUCUUAGGAAAUAGCUAUGGGAGAAAUUAGCAAUAAUUUAGAAACGAAAGAAAAUUGUGCUUCAAAAUAUAAUUGGUAUGGAAAUACCGAAAAUAUGCCACCAAAUGAACAAAAUAUUAAAUUUCUUGACCACGUUGAACGUGUCAGCGACGAAUUUGACGAGGGUGGAGAGCAUUUAAAUGAAGACGAAGUUACAAUCACAGACAUUAACAGCUAUGAUUUACAAGAUUCUGACACAGCAAGGGCUGAUAUUGGAGAACCUUUGACACCUCAAUAUAUUAGUAUAGACUUCACUCCUGUCCAUGGAGUUGACGACGUAGAAUCUUUACAGGAAAAAUGCUUGGGAUUCUGGAAAUUUGUUAAUGGAAACCCAACUUUACAGCGUCUGUCAGAUAAAGGACUUGAAGAGGUUCAUAGUUUGACAAUGGAAACCAAUACAAAUAUUCCUACAAAUAGAAGUGAUUCCUACAAUAGCGUGAAUCAGACCAUCCAUGUCUUUAAAAAUGUCGCUCAUGUUACACGGACGAUUUUUGAAACUAAGCAGUCAUGUGAUUGUCAGAACCAUGAUGACGACUACUUAAGUGGCGAAGUGCAAAAACAGAACCCACGUCAAGUGAAAUUAAAGAAGAGAUACAACGGACGCGGUUAGUAGGGCCAUUAGUUGGUCAACAAUCCCUCCCGGAACUCAAGUCGGAAAUGAGUUUAUCGAACCGUCUCUCACGUACGAGUUGCCGAGUGCCCGAUGAGGUUGAUAAGUUGUGCCGCGAAAUGAAAAACUGGGAUAUAUUGCAUCCUAAAUCAAUGAAACAACCGCAAACCGUGAAGUUUGACGCUUGAUUUAAAAUAAUAUAACAAUAAAUAAAUAGGAUAAUUCAAUAUACAAAAAGAGUUGUAUAAUUUAAUUGUAACAGUAACAAUAAGAAAGUAAGCUAUUGAAGGAACAAAAUAUUUUAUUGAACCGUUCAACAAAAGUUUGUGCAGAAUGUAUUUUAUAAGUAAUUCCUGUAAUAAAAUCCACCUAAUGUGAAUACAUGUGUAAUAUACAUACAUUUUAUUUGGAGUAAAUAAUUUAAAUUUUCAUCUGUGAUAAGUGAUUACUCUGAUAGUAUCUGUAUAUAACAAUAACGUCCUUGUUUUGAGCGUUUUAGCUAUCAAUCUUUCAAAUUCCAGUUCAGGGUCUUUCAGUCUAUUAAUUAUACUUUGGUUUACACUUAACUCUUUAUUGAAAAUAAAACUCUUCGAGUAAUUCAUUCAUGGAGUUUUGUUGUUUCUUGUAUCCAGGCCAACCGACUUCCAAGUGUCGUCUGUAAUUUAUUAGAAAAUCAUUUCUAUAGCAUUACAUAUAAGGCUACUAACCUUUUUAUUUAUAUUCAUAACGUAAUGAUGUGAUGUUAUAUUUUUUUCAAACCGCAGAGGCUUCUUAAAAGAUCGGUCAUUAAUCACAAGUCCCUUUUACGUAUGAGACUCCGGGUCACACUCGUUCAAUUUCUGUAUCCUGAAUAGGCCUUUAUUAUAAUCUAUAUCUAUCAGAUAGAAUACUUGACAUUCCUUUCAAGCGAUUUUAUCUAAAUUGAAAACGUUUCUGAUAUA